UUUUCCAAAAAGGGAAAGGUUCCACCGAGAUUUGAACUCGGGUUACUGGAUUCAGAGUCCAAUGUCCUGACCACUAGACCAUGGAACCAUCUUUGGUAUGUUAUUGCAGCUUUUUACUUUUGAAUAAUUUAGCUAAUCGUAUAAAAUUAGUACGAGGUGCUUUAAAAUACAACCACUCUCCAAACAAGCAACCAGACCAGUGGCUAUUUGUGUAAUGGUUUCUUUAUAAAAUGGCCUAUAUUGGUCCUGAACUGAGUUCACCAUUUGAUAAAAGACAAAGCCACCACUACAUCUGCAAAACACCAGUUAAGGGAUUUGCUUGGUUAGUUGAAUAGUGAUGUUUCUUCGCCGAGUUGGAUCAGCAACAUUACCACUGUCGAGAAGGUUAUUUUGCAGUAUUGGUAGCCAUGAUAUAUCCAAAGCUAUUUCUGAGCUUAAUCAGGUUUAUAUAUGUAUAUCAUAAUUAUGUGCUUAAAUUUUUGUCUCAAGGAUUUAACAUGUUUCUUUUGGAGACUUCUAGGCUUAAGUUUUAAUUAUUCCUAAAUGAAUGUUGAGGAUCAUUAAAAGAAUAAAGAACUUGCAAUUUCAUUGUUUGAAGGCUGGAUAUUGUUAUGAUAAACACAUUUUUAAAUUAUAUCAGCUGAUCGACAUUUUUCUGCUUCUUUUUUUUUUUUUAACAAUC